rnacentral:rRNA from 1 species
GACGAACGCUGGCGGCGUGCCUAAUACAUGCAAGUAGAACGCACAGUUUAUACCGUAGCUUGCUACACCAUAGACUGUGAGUUGCGAACGGGUGAGUAACGCGUAGGUAACCUGCCUGGUAGCGGGGGAUAACUAUUGGAAACGAUAGCUAAUACCGCAUAAUAUUAAUUAUUGCAUGAUAAUUAAUUGAAAGGUGCAAUUGCACCACUACCAGAUGGACCUGCGUUGUAUUAGCUAGUAGGUGAGGUAACGGCUCACCUAGGCGACGAUACAUAGCCGACCUGAGAGGGUGAUCGGCCACACUGGGACUGAGACACGGCCCAGACUCCUACGGGAGGCAGCAGUAGGGAAUCUUCGGCAAUGGACGAAAGUCUGACCGAGCAACGCCGCGUAAGUGAAGAAGGUUUUCGGAUCGUAAAGCUCGGUUGUAAGAGAAGAACGGGUGUGAGAGUGGAAAGUUCACACUGUGACGGUAUCUUACCAGAAAGGGACGGCUAACUACGUG